AGAGUGAACGCUGGCGGUAGGCCUAACACAUGCAAGUCGAACGGCAGCACAGGAGAGCUUGCUCUCUGGGUGGCGAGUGGCGGACGGGUGAGGAAUACAUCGGAAUCUACCUUUUCGUGGGGGAUAACGUAGGGAAACUUACGCUAAUACCGCAUAAGACCUUCGGGUGAAAGCCGGGGACCUUCGGGCCUGGCGCGGAUAGAUGAGCCGAUGUCGGAUUAGCUUGUUGGCGGGUAAAGGCCCACCAAGGCGACGAUCCGUAGCUGGUCUGAGAGGAUGAUCAGCCACGACUGGAACUGAGACACGGUCCAGACUCCUACGGGAGCAGUCAGUGGGAAUAUUGGACAAUGGGCGCAAGCCUGAUCCAGCCAUACCGCGUGGGUGAAGAAGGUCCGUUAGGUUGUAAACGUCCCUUUUAGUUGGAAAAGUAAAUCCGUAG
rnacentral:rRNA from 1 species